UGGGGAAUAUUGGACAAUGGGCGCAAGCCUGAUCCAGCCAUGCCGCGUGAGUGAUGAAGGCCUUAGGGUUGUAAAGCUCUUUUAGCGGGGAAGAUAAUGACGGUACCCGCAGAAAAAGCCCCGGCUAACUUCGUGCCAGCAGCCGCGGUAAUACGAAGGGGGCUAGCGUUGCUCGGAAUUACUGGGCGUAAAGCGCACGUAGGCGGACUCUUAAGUCGGUGGUGAAAUCCUGGAGCUCGACUCCAGAACUGCCUUCGAUACUGGGAGUCUUGAUUUCGGGAGAGGUGAGUGGAACUGCGAGUGUAGAGGUGAAAUUCGUAGAUAUUCGCAAGAACACCAGUGGCGAAGGCGGCUCACUGGCCCGAUACUGACGCUGAGGUGCGAAAGCGUGGGGAGCAAACA
rnacentral:rRNA from 1 species